CUUGCCGUCAGCCUUUUCUUUGACCUCUUCUUUCUCUUCAUGUGUAUUUGCUGUCUCUUAGCCCAGACUUCCCGUGUCCUUUCCACCGGGCCUUUGAGAGGUCACAGGGUCUUGAUGCUGUGGUCUUGAUCUGCAGGUGUCUGACUUCCAGCAACUGCUGGCCUGUGCCAGGGUGCAAGCUGAGCACUGGAGUGGAGUUUUCCUGUGGAGAGGAGCCAUGCCUAGAGUGGGAUGGGCCAUUGUUCAUCUUCUGGCCCCUGUUGUCUGCAUGUAACUUAAUACCACAACCAGGCAUACGGGAAAGAUUGGAGGAAAGAUGAGUGAGAGCAUCAACUUCUCUGACAACCUAGGCCAGCUCCUGUCUCCCCCCAGGUGUGUGGUGAUGCCAGGCAUGCCCUUCCCCAGCAUCAGGUCUCCAGAGCUGCAGAAGACGACGGCCGACUUGGAUCACACUCUUGUGAGUGUCCCCAGUGUUGCAGAGAGCCUCCACCACCCCGAGAUCACAUUUCUCACUGCCUUUUGUCUGCCCAGUUUCACCAGAAGUAGGCCUCUUCCUGACAGGCAGCUGCACCACUGCCUGGCGCUGCGCCCUUCCUUUGCUCUGCCCGCUGGAGACGGUGUUUGUCAUGGGCCUGGUCUGCAGGGAUCCUGCUACAAAGGUGAAACCCAGGAGAGUGUGGAAUCCAGAGUGUUGCCAGGACCCAGGCACAGGCAUUAGUGCCCGUUGGAGAAAACAGGGGAAUCCCGAAGAAAUGGUGGGUCCUGGCCAUCCGUGAGAUCUUCCCAGGGCAGCUCCCCUCUGUGGAAUCCAAUCUGUCUUCCAUCCUGCGUGGCCGAGGGCCAGGCUUCUCACUGGGCCUCUGCAGGAGGCUGCCAUUUGUCCUGCCCACCUUCUUAGAAGCGAGACGGAGCAGACCCAUCUGCUACUGCCCUUUCUAUAAUAACUAAAGUUAGCUGCCCUGGACUAUUCACCCCCUAGUCUCCAUUUAAAAAGAUCCCCAUGGCCACAGGGCCCCUGCCUGGGGGCUUGUCACCUCCCCCACCUUCUUCCUGAGUCACUCCUGCAGCCUUGCUCCCUAACCUGCCCCACAGCCUUGCCUGGAUUUCUAUCUCCCUGGCUUGGUGCCAGUUCCUCCAAGUCGAUGGCACCUCCCUCCCUCUCAACCACGUGAGCAAACUCCAAGACAUCUUCUACCCCAACACCAGCAAUUGUGCCAAGGGCCAUUAGGCUCUCAGCAUGACUAUUUUUAGAGACCCCGUGUCUGUCACUGAAACCUUUUUUGUGGGAGACUAUUCCUCCCAUCUGCAACAGCUGCCCCUGCUGACUGCCCUUCUCUCCUCCCUCUCAUCCCAGAGAAACAGGUCAGCUGGGAGCUUCUGCCCCCACUGCCUAGGGACCAACAGGGGCAGGAGGCAGUCACUGACCCCGAGACGUUUGC
rnacentral:lncRNA from 1 species